CAACUACAGCAAUACCACUGACUCCAGACACCACAGCAAGCUCUCUGAAUCCAGGUCCAGCUGAUACAGCUUCAGAAACUGCUGGAUUAUUAUACAGAGUGAUUGUGAGUAUUGUUGAGAUUGCACUGUUUGCUGCUCCUACUGUGAUUCUUCUUCAGAUCAUCUGUGCAAGAAGAGCUGGGAGGAAGAACUUGAAGCACCCAGAGGAAAUAGAGAUGCCUGCAAUAUUACAAUAAAAUACUGGUGAUGUGUGUGAACAUUCAUCUUCUGCAGCUCCAGUCUCUUCAACAACACUGACUCCAGUCAGCAGAUCAAACUCUGAGAAGACAUCAAGCAGAACUACAGCAACAGCUCCUACACAAGGUUCAUGAUCACAUGACCACUGGCACACAUCAUCACUCUCGCUUCAGUGGUUUGCACUGGCU